UAGACAUGAACCAAGUGUAGUUCUGUUCAA
rnacentral:piRNA from 1 species